rnacentral:lncRNA from 9 species
AUGUUAGAAACUUCCAUCUCUGGUGACACCUUUCAAAUCCACGGUCAGAGAUCGUGGUCCUCCACUUACGCAAACAUGACCACUCUUUUCUCGCCGGUGUGUCUUCUCUUUCUGUCUCCUGUUAGGUUCACGGAGAAGGAGGUUCAUGUUCACCGGGACUUUCACCACUCUUCACAGCUGUCUCCUCUCUGGUCGCUGAUCCGAGCUCUUUUCCCUGCACAUCUGACAGAGCAAUGUCAGAAGUCUUUGGACUGGACAAAAAAACAAACAAACAAAAAAAAAAUAGGAGAGCACUCACACUGCACAAAGAUAGAGUGAUCAACUGUGGACAUAACCCAAAACCUUUGGAGAGUUGACUGCAAAGAGAGGUGUUCUGUUUGUCGUUCUGCACUCAACAGAAUCUUGCCAGGUGACUGCCAGGUACUUCCAGCCUCACAGGCCCCACGGGAGGAUGGGGAGUUCUCAGCCCCUCUUGUACAUGGCUCCCUUGCUGACCGGCCAGCCCCUAACUGGCCUCUUUCUGUCUGAAGGAGGUGCUGAGUCUCUGGGCUGUGCUCUCUGCCGCUCGCCGCAGCCUCUGUCCGUCCACCCCCCUGAAGCCGUGCUCUGUGCUCUUGGACCCAAAGCGGAGACCUCCAGGUGCUGAAUCACUUCCUGUGAAAGAAGAGGGGACCUCAGCCACCUCUUGGAGCAGGAAGGGCUGGGAGGGGACAUUCAGGCCCAGCAUGGUUCUGUUGAAGGAUAAAGGAAACCCAGGCUUAAUGAAAGUUAAAGACUUAUCCACUGGACGCCCAGAUUACAGCUGUACACUCCGGUCACCUGGGCACAGCUACAGUGCCAUGCCUGGACUGAUUAAAUCUGAAUCAAUAGAGGUGGGACCCAGGCAUCGAUAGCUGGUACCCAAGGCUAUGUGCCACGGCAUUAUAGCGAGGAGCCCCCAUGUGAACACAAAGGCCUGGGUUCACAGUCUUCCGGCACCCAAGCCGUAUGCAGGAAGUUCUGAUGUAAUUAGCUGUGCUUCAGGAUCAUUCACAAUUCCCAGAUGGUUCCAGUGUGCAGCUGAAUUUGAGAGCCACUGUGUUCAGUGUGGCCUCUUAAUGUGAAAACACCGUGUACUCUUGAGGGAAAAUGUAAGAUUUAAUUGAGCAAAAAAAAAAAAAUGUACCUGUUCAAGUUGGGGUGCACUCCACUGCCUGUUAAUCUGUAUGCACGUUCCAAGACACAGAAGCACCUGUAGUUGUGGGAACAUGAAUCCAUGAUUUUGCCUUUACACGCAGGUGUCGUUAGACUUGCUUGUGUCGAGCGAUUACCAUCACUGGCCCAUUCGACAGAAAAGUUUUGAGUGUGCCUUCGUAGAAGCAAAGUUUAAAGGAUCAUUCUGAAUCAACAACAUUAUAAAUAAUUACCUUUAAUAGAAAUAGAAAGAAUAUAAGUUUAGCCAGUGCCUUGAAACGUUCUGUCGUAACAUACAGUUCUUACACAUUGAGUUGAGUGACUCUCUGUCGUUGGCUGAGGAAAACAUCUGGGAUGGGACUUUCACUCCAAUCAGAUGGAAAUUCCUGCUCUCAUUUUUUUUUUUUUUUUUUUUUUUUUAGUUAAGAUUGCCUAAAACUCCAAAGCCCUUUAGCCUCUUUUUUACCCCCGACUAUUGUGAGGAAGCCUCAGGAAUAAGCAAGCACGCCAGCCACUCCACUGCGAUUCUCACAGGGGCCCUUACCCAGUCACAGAAAGCACAUUUUGAAUAAACCAAGUGAAGACCUUCCUGCACACAAAACCUCAGAGCUGCCAGCAUCCUCCGCAGGGAGCAGAGCCCAGGCUCCCGGAGGCCUGCGAGGUCCUUCUCCUCGGACUCCCUGCCCUGCUGUGCCGGGGCAUCCGAGCAGGAGCACUGGGUACCCACCCCCCCACACACACCUACAGGUGACCCUCGGGGCUUCCAGAGGCUGUGAGUGUCAAUCACCUACCCUUAUCAGUUCUCCGUCCAACAUUUAGAGUCACAAAGCUGGCUGGAAAAGUGAUAAGGGGAUGUGACUGGCCUGUGGUGGCAGCGGCGACGUUUUGAUGAAGCUUUGUGAGGAAAACCGACAUGUGAUUUCCAGGUGAAAACAUGCACCCUUGACCCUCCCUGCGACUCCUCCCCCGCCCCCAAAGCCUCUCCGAGCCCUUCUGCUUUGCUCCGGGCU